AUGCCAGACUCCUACGGGAGGCAGCAGUGGGGGAUAUUGCACAAUGGGGGGAACCCUGAUGCAGCGACGCCGCGUGGGUGAAGGAGCGUUUCGGCGCGUAAAGCCCUAUCGGCAGGGAAGAAGGAGGACGGUACCUGACUAAGAAGCCCCGGCUAACUACGUGCCAGCAGCCGCGGUAAUACGUAGGGGGCAAGCGUUAUCCGGAUUUAUUGGGUUUAAAGGGUGCGUAGGCGGGCUUUUAAGUCAGCGGUAAAAAUUCGGGGCUCAACCCCGUCCGGCCGUUGAAACUGGCGUUCUUGAGUGGGCGAGAAGUAUGCGGAAUGCGUGGUGUAGCGGUGAAAUGCAUAGAUAUCACGCAGAACUCCGAUUGCGAAGGCAGCAUACCGGCGCCCAACUGACGCUGAAGCACGAAAGCGUGGGUAUCGAACAGGAUUAGAUACCCCCGUAC
rnacentral:rRNA from 1 species